rnacentral:lncRNA from 1 species
AAAAAUUUUAUAGAAAACUUCAAAAUAAUUGUACUUCAUUGACCUAUGUUUUGUCUUAAAAUCUUUCGUUUUGAGUUAUGUUAUUUAGGGGGAGGGCUAUUAAAGUGUUCUCUCUCCCCACAUAUAAUGCGUUUUAGAUCUCCCGCAUUUUUUCCUGGAUAUUUAUCGGGAGAUGGUAGAGAGAUUUGGUAAGUAAUACAGUUUGAUUUUUAUGUCUCAAGGAUUUCUCCUAUAGUCACAUAUUUGAGUUUUGUUUAUUCUGGUCUUUUUUUUCCUGAUGGUUCUAUUUGCAGUAUUAACUGAAAAUCCUUGUGCUAAUGCUAAUUUUGAUCUUUUUUUUCACUAGCAUGUAUUGGAGCACUCAGACUUGACGAAGGACAUAGCUGUUAAGAUAGAUAAUGGUUAUUGCAAACUGCACGUUUUUAAAUGGUCUCCAGUGCGGACUGCUGAGCCAGUGAUGGAAUGAGCACGUUGAGGAAGAAUAUGUCAUUUGGAAUCCAGAACCAUUCAGCAAGGAUAACUGCCUGAUGUAUGGUCAGAAUGCUCAAACACUGAUGGCGUAUCGAUGGCUUUCUCUUCCAUUCCCCUAAAAAGCAAGUUUUGUCAGCCUCAGAGUGCCCCUAAUCUAGCUCUUCUCAUUUCCAGACCUAGUUCUGUCACUUUUGGGUGUCAAAGGGAAUUGAAGUGUCAGUGUAUGAGUAUAGCAAACUUACUUAAUGAUUGAUAGGAAGCAAAUAAAAAGAAUUUUGUUUGCUAAGUACUUGAAGUGUAGAAAGUUUUGGUUUUCAGUUUAUUUUGCAAAGCAUAAAGACAUUUCCUGGUUGUUAAUUCCACGUGAAUUAUUCAAUAUUUUUUCUCUCUCUAAGUUAAUUUUAAUGCUAAUUUCCUAUGGUAACUGACAAAGCAAUUGAAUGGAAUAAGCCUUAUCUUUUAAAGUUUGUACUGAUGGUAUUCAGAUAAAGUUCACUUUUUUCCCCAGUUUAAGUGGUAUGUAAAUAAAAUACCCAUUUCAAAUUUGACAAAUUAGAAAAUCACUUGGAACGAUUUCCCAGUACAGUCAUGUGUCGCUUAACGAUGGGGAUAGGUUCUUAGAAAUGCAUGGUUAGGUGAUUUCAUCGUUGUGCGAACAUCAGGGAGUAGUGUACCUGCACAAACCUAGAUGGUGCAGCCUACUGCACGUGGAAGCUGUCUGGCACUGAUCUUAUGGGACCAUCAUACAUGCGGUCCAUCAUUAACCAAAAUGUCAUUAUGUGGUGCAUGACUGUAUUUUUUAUUUCAUUUUUUAGAAUUGUUUUUCCUUUACACAUUUAUACUGCAAAACAAAUCGAGGAUGCAGACUCAGACUAAACUGGUCAACUUGUGUUUGGUCUUCAUGGGAAUUACAUCUUUUUUUCACCCAACGUUUAUUAAAGAAACAAAAUUUUAGGCUAUAGCAAACUAAUACGUUUAUCUUAACUAAGAGCUGAAUUUCAUUAAGGAACAGACCAUGUAAUUCCGUUCCACAUGCUUUAAAGUAUGACUCAUCCCUUUUAAAGUUGUGAGACUCAAAACCACGCCCAUAUCACUUAAUUUUAUGUCCUUCCCUGUUUACUGUGUCUGACCUUCAAGAUCUCGUGACUGAUGCUGAAAUGGAAGCCAACCAGUGCAGAAAUUUGGGGGAAAAUGAAUCUGAAGAAAGCAAGGGGAAGUAGGAAUUCAUUUCUAGCAUUCCCAAAACCUGCUUUUGUCGUGUCAACUCCACUGCAGUCAGAGGAAAAGAACUGAGUUCAUGGAAAUUACCAGCUAAGCCUUACAUCUGUAUUUAAUGUUUUAGGAAAUACACUGAAAAGGUAAGUGAGAUGUCUGUUUUGAAAAAAGACUAUUAGAUAUUUUAAAGCCAAAUAUUCCAUAUUAGUAAAGAUGGACAGCUUCUUUAUUCUGAGCUUCAGAAAGGCUCGCCCCCAUUUGGAGUGGUUCUCAGUAUUUUGGAGAAGGUGGAGUUGUUGCAGCCAAUAUGGAGUCUUCCUCUGCUUCUCAGCAGUUAAGCUGGAAUUUGCAUUGAAGUGUACAAAAUGCCAAUUUUUGUUGUUUUGUGCUCAAAUCCUUUCUUAAGUUAUAUUUGCAUUAUAUGUAGUCAAAACUGCGUUUUUAGAGGUUUCUGUUAAUGUCCACACAUAGUGGUUUUUUAGAUAAUUUUUAAAUUAUUAGGAUUAAAUUAUUCCACAUUUAUUACACACCUACGUAAUACACAUUGUGCCAGGCCCUGGAACACACAGAUGGACUAGCACACAGUUCAUGUCCUCAAGGAGUUCAUUUUUAUUGAUACAGUAGAGAGAGAAUUCUAGUUUAGGGAUUCAAUCUAAUAAAAUGGAGGCUAAUUCCACUCCCUCAUCAAAAAUCCACUCUAACAUGUUAAUCUGAAUGUGACAGAUUCUAUUUGAAAGAUCCUGCGCAUGUGUGCAUGCACGUGUGUGUGAGUGUGUGUGAGAGAGACAUUUACUAAGCACUUCUACGUGCCAGGUACUGUUGUAAGCUCUUUACAUAUAUGUAUUUUUUAAAUCCUCAUUGCUAUUCUAUAAAAUAGGUGCUAUUAGUAGCACAUUUUCUAAGUCAUUAAGGAAGACAGGUUAAUUAACUUGCCCAAGUUUGCACAACUAUGAUCCUGGACCAAUAUUUUAACCCAGACAGGCUCCUUAUAGAGCCUGUGCUCUUAAUUUGGGUGUGAUAUUUAUAUGUAGUACCUGGCUGUGAGUACCCAUAAAACAUUCCAAAAUGUUAAUAAAAUUUGCCUAGUUUUAAAAAAGGAAAGUUCCAAUAACAUAGAAAGAUUAUAGAUAUAAUAGUAGUCAAACCCUUUAGAAAACUAAAAAUUGCGUUUUUCCAACUCCUGGCUCCAAGACAGUCCUUUUGCAUGAUGACCUCCUCUGGCCCCCAGUGGUGUGCAUGCCUAGACACACAGUUCAAAGUGCUGGAACAGAGAGGCAGAGCUUAUCACGGUUCUAUUUUAUAUUCAGUACCUGUUGCCCCUUCAGUCCACCCCUCUUUCUUUUUGAAAUGUGGGUAUUGCUUUAGCUGCUAAAUCAUGAGAAAAUAUGACUGCUGAGACGUUCCCUAGUAUUCUUAAAAGAAUAGGUUAGACUCUGUGCAGAAGUAAAGAAAAACUGCUCUGAGAACCCCAGGUAGGUAAUUUACUCCCUAUUGUAUGCAUAAUUUAUUCAAAGUCUCUGCUCUUCUAUUCUCUGUUUUAUAUUUUUGUAAAUCUGAUUGACCUUUAAUAAACUGUUUUCUGAAGUGAUGGUUUCUUUGGUCUCAUUUCCCAUUUGAUUGUGUAUCUCCUUUGGUCCCUUU